AAGGCUUUAGUUUAUGAUUGAAUAAAGAAUUGUAAAUUCUUAGGGUUUUUGGCUUU
rnacentral:tRNA from 1 species